rnacentral:lncRNA from 1 species
AAAUUUAUACUUUUCUUCCAUAUUCAAUAUUUUGUCCAAGUUCAGUAACAUUUGACAGGGCUGUGAGAAAGAAGUUACAGAGGCUUAGAUGGUGCCUCUGAUGAACAAAAGGGUGAAAGCAUUAUGCGGUUGUCAGUAUAUCAUGAUAUUGAUGAAAAUGAUGAUGUGUUUUUGGUUUGUGAAGAGGAAGAUUCAUUUUCUGUUGAAGACCUAAAAGAUCACUCAUGCACAACAGGUGUUUGAUGAAAUGCAUAUUAGAAUUUUCCCAG